rnacentral:rRNA from 1 species
GAUCCUGGCUCAGAAUCAACGCUGGCGGCGUGUCUAACACAUGCAAGUCGCACGAGAAAGGGUAGCAAUACCUGAGUAAAGUGGCGCACGGGUGAGUAACACGUGAAUCAUCUACCUCCGAAUGGGGAAUAACUGAGAGAAAUCUUAGCUAAUACCGCAUAAUACCUACGGGUCAAAGCAGCAAUGCGUUUGGAGAGGAGUUCGCGGCAGAUUAGUUAGUUGGCGGGGUAAUGGCCCACCAAGACGAUGAUCUGUAUCCGGCCUGAGAGGGCGCACGGACACACUGGAACUGAAACACGGUCCAGACUCCUACGGGAGGCAGCAGUGGGGAAUUUUGCGCAAUGGGGGAAACCCUGACGCAGCAACGCCGCGUGGAGGAUGAAAUCCCUUGGGAUGUAAACUCCUUUCGAUAGGGAAGAUAAUGACGGUACCUAUAGAAGAAGCCCCGGCUAACUUCGUGCCAGCAGCCGCGGUAAUACGAGGGGGGCAAGCGUUGUUCGGAUUUAUUGGGCGUAAAGGGUGCGUAGGCGGUUUGGCAAGUCUUGUGUGAAAUCUUUGGGCUCAACCCAAAGUCUGCAUAAGAAACUGCCGGGCUUGAGUAUGGGAGAGGUGAGUGGAAUUUCCGGUGUAGCGGUGAAAUGCGUAGAUAUCGGAAGGAACACCCUGUGGCGAAAGCGGCUCACUGGACCA